rnacentral:rRNA from 1 species
UACGGAGGGUGCUAGCGUUGUUCGGAAUCACUGGGCGUAAAGAGCGCGUAGGCGGUUUGGUAAGUUGGAAGUGAAAGCCUGGGGCUUAACCCCAGAAUUGCUUUCAAAACUAUCAGACUAGAGUAUGGUAGGGGAUAGUGGAAUUUCUAGUGUAGAGGUGAAAUUCGUAGAUAUUAGAAGGAACACCAGUGGCGAAGGCGGCUAUCUGGACCAUAACUGACGCUGAGGCGCGAAAGCGUGGGGAGCAAACAGG